CAGCAGCCACGGGAAUACGAACCGUGCGAACGUUAUUCGGAAUCACUGGGCUUAAAGCGCGUGUAGGCGGGCCGCCACGUCGGCUGCUGAAAUCCCCCGGCUCAACCGGGGAAGUGGCACCGAUACGAGCGGCCUCGAGGGGGGUAGGGGGGACUGGAACUUCCGGUGGAGCGGUGAAAUGCGUUGAGAUCGGAAGGAACGCCCGUGGCGAAAGCGAGUCCCUGGACCCUUUCUGACGCUGAGACGCGAUCGCCAGGGGAGCGAACGGGAUUAGAUACCCGAGUAGUCCCUGUCUCUUAUA
rnacentral:rRNA from 1 species